GACGAACGCUGGCGGCGUGCUUAACACAUGCAAGUCGAACGAUGACGACCGAGCUUGCUCGGUCUGAUUAGUGGCGAACGGGUGAGUAACACGUGAGCAACCUGCCCUUCACUCUGGGAUAACCUCGGGAAAUCGGGGCUAAUACCGGAUAUGAGCUCCUGUCGCAUGGCGGGUGUUGGAAAGUUUUUCGGUGAAGGAUGGGCUCGCGGCCUAUCAGUUUGUUGGUGAGGUAGUGGCUCACCAAGGCGAUGACGGGUAGCCGGCCUGAGAGGGCGACCGGCCACACUGGGACUGAGACACGGCCCAGACGCCUACGGGAGGCAGCAGUGGGGAAUAUUGCACAAUGGGCGAAAGCCUGAUGCAGCGACGCCGCGUGAGGGAUGACGGCCUUCGGGUUGUAAACCUCUUUCAGCAGGGAAGAAGCGAAAGUGACGGUACCUGCAGAAGAAGCGCCGGCUAACUACGUG
rnacentral:rRNA from 1 species